rnacentral:rRNA from 1 species
UACGUAGGGUCCGAGCGUUGUCCGGAAUUACUGGGCGUAAAGAGCUCGUAGGUGGUUUGUCGCGUUGUUCGUGAAAACUCACAGCUCAACUGUGGGCGUGCGGGCGAUACGGGCAGACUUGAGUACUGCAGGGGAGACUGGAAUUCCUGGUGUAGCGGUGGAAUGCGCAGAUAUCAGGAGGAACACCUAUGGCGAAAGCAGCUCUCUGGGACGGUACUGACGCUGAGACGCGAAAGCGUGGGGAGCGAACAGG